CAAGUCGAGCGGACCGGACGGGGGCUUGCUUUGGUUUGGUCAGCGGCGGACGGGUGAGUAACACGUGGGCAACCUGCCCGCAAGACCGGGAUAACUCCGGGAAACCGGAGCUAAUACCGGAUAACACCGAAGACCGCAUGGUCUUCGGUUGAAAGGCGGCCUUUGGGCUGUCACUUGCGGAUGGGCCCGCGGCGCAUUAGCUAGUUGGUGAGGUAACGGCUCACCAAGGCGACGAUGCGUAGCCGGCCUGAGAGGGUGACCGGCCACACUGGGACUGAGACACGGCCCAGACUCCUACGGGAGGCAGCAGUAGGGAAUCUUCCGCAAUGGGCGAAAGCCUGACGGAGCGACGCCGCGUGAGCGAAGAAGGCCUUCGGGUCGUAAAGCUCUGUUGUGAGGGACGAAGGAGCGCCGUUUGAAGAAGGCGGCGCGGUGACGGUACCUCACGAGAAAGCCCCGGCUAACUACGUGCCAGCAGCCGCGGUAAUACGUAGGGGGCGAGCGUUGUCCGGAAUUAUUGGGCGUAAAGCGCGCGCAGGCGGUCUCUUAAGUCUGAUGUGAAAGCCCACGGCUCAACCGUGGAGGGUCAUUGGAAACUGGGGGACUUGAGGGCAGGAGAGGAGAGCGGAAUUCCACGUGUAGCGGUGAAAUGCGUAGAGAUGUGGAGGAACACCAGUGGCGAAGGCGGCUCUCUGGCCUGCACCUGACGCUGAGGCGCGAAAGCGUGGGGAGCAAACAGGAUUAGAUACCCUGGUAGUCCACGCCGUAAACGAUGAGUGCUAAGUGUUAGAGGGGUCACACCCUUUAGUUGCUGCAGCUAACGCGAUAAGCAUUCCGCCCGGGGAGUACGGCCGCAAGGCUGAAACUCAAAGGAAUUGACGGGGGCCCGCACAAGCGGUGGAGCAUGUGGUUUAAUUCGAAGCAACGCGAAGAACCUUACCAGGUCUUGACAUCCCCUGACAACCCAAGAGAUUGGGCGUUCCCCCUUCGGGGGGACAGGGUGACAGGUGGCGCAUGGUUGACGUCAGCUCGUGUCGUGAGAUGUUGGGUUAAGUCCCGCAACGAGCGCAACCCUCGCCUCCAGUUGCCAGCAUUCGGUUGGGCACUCUAGAGGGACUGCCGGCGACAAAUCAGAAGAAGGUGGGGAUGACCUAAAAUCAUCUUGCCCCUUAUGACCUGUGCUACACGCGAGCAACAAUGGGCGGUACAUUGUGGGUGCGAACCCGCGAGGGGGAGAAAAUCCCAAAUAGACGCUCGCAGUUCAAAUCGCAAGCUGGAACGCGUCUGCAAGAUUUCUGAAUAUUAACCAUAGCGCAUCCACAUGGCGCGGUCCAUAUGUUAUCGGGUAGUGUUCGCACCGCCCGUCGAAACACCAGAGAGUGAGCGCACGAGUUGCUGAAGAACAAACAGGUGUAGCCCCCCCUCUAACGUAGCACUCUCUGAUUGUGGGGAGGUACACCACGGUAAUCAUGCUCCUCUUGCUCCCCAC
rnacentral:rRNA from 1 species